UCUCCUGCAUUUUUUUCCCCUCCAUUUUUCUCCACUUUCCCAAUCCCCACCAUUCAUAAUGAGUGGUGGGGAUUGAAAAAAAAUGGAGACUCCCAUGUACGCUUGCGGGCAUGGGUGAUCUUGAUUGAAGCCUUGAACAUGAUGGAUAGUUUGAUGACUCGAGUACGUCUUCUCUGUCUGUUUCUUCCUCAUCCCCUACCUUUCCCAUCUUGUGAGGCCAGCCAACCUUAAACAUGAAGCUCUUGGCGAGGACAGGUGAAUUUAUACCAUAUCACAAGCGACGAUAACACUUUGAGUUCCACUGUCAUAUUCUUCAGGAAAUAGUGUUGAAUCUCAUUCCUGCCGAAUGUAGAGUCAAGCUCUGUUACGGUGAAUCCAUCAACAGAAGGGUAUGCUGCUGCUGCUUCAUUAGUGUAUGGACACUCAAAUCUAGGGUCCAGUGGAGCGGAAAAUGAAGGUAAUAGAGGAUUCAAAGGAGCUAAAUGUGGGAUCUCUUCAAAAGAAUCAAAACUCCAAUCAUUAUUGGGGAACAUCUCGCCCAAUCCAGAGGAAAAAGUGCUCCAAGUGUCUCUUCUUGGAGCUAGUAGUUCCUCCAGAAAACCGAGCUGAGUAAGCUCCAUCACUUGCCUUUUACGUCCCUCUUUCCUUCCUUUGUAUUAUAAAUGGGAAGGUGAAAUUAUGAUCCAGACAGAGGAAGGCUUGGUGAAUAAUAGAGAAUGAAGAUGUGGGGAGGUAUUUGUUUAAAUAAAACAAGGAAGGGAGCCCAUUUCUUUAUCUCCAGAAAACCAUCAUCAUUACAGAAUGAAUUACAGUAAAAAGUUGUGUAAUAGCACCUCGAGAUAGACUUUAGAUGUAAAUGGAAUCUAAUUUCUCUUUCUUGCUUU